GUUAGUCCUCCUUCCCAACAUGGCACAGUCUAUUAACAUCACGGAGCUGCAUCUGCCGCAACUAGAAAUGCUCAAGAACCAGUUGGACCAGGAAGUGGAGCUCUUCUCCACGUCCAUUGCCCAGCUCAAAGUGGUACAGACCAAGUAUGUGGAAGCCAAGGACUGUCUGAACACGCUGAACAAGAGCAAUGAGGGGAAACAAUUACAUGUCCCACUGACGAGUUCUAUGUAUGUCCCUGGGAAGCUGCAUGAUGUGGAACAUGUGCUCAUCCAUGUGGGAACUGGGUACUAUGUAGAAAAGACAGCUCAGGAUGCCAAGGACUUCUUCAAGAGGAAGAUAGAUUUUUCUAACCAAGCAGAUGGAGAAAAUCCAACCAGCUCUUCAGAAGAAGCACGCCAUGAAACAGGCUGUCAUGGAAAUGAUGAGUCAGAAGAUUCAGCAGCUCACAGCCCUGGGGGCAGCUCAGGCUACUGCUAAGGCCUGAGAGUUUUUGCAGAAAUGGGGCAGAGGGACACCCUGUGGGCAUGGCUUCCUAGUGCUGGGAAGAGUCUUGUGCUUAAUGCCAAUAAAUGUGCCAGCUGGGCAAAAAAA